UACAGAGACUGCAAGCGUUAUUCGGAUUCACUGGGCGUAAAGGGUGCGCAGGCGGCCGGGUGUGUCAGAUGUGAAAUCCCGAGGCUUAACCCUCGGAACUGCGUCUGAAACUACUCGGCUAGAGUACUGGAGAGGGAAACGGAAUUCACGGUGUAGCAGUGAAAUGCGUAGAUAUCGUGAGGAACACCAGAGGCGAAGGCGGUUCCUGGACAGUUACUGACGCUCAGGCACGAAAGCAUGGGGAGCAAAAGGG
rnacentral:rRNA from 1 species